rnacentral:rRNA from 1 species
GAUGAACGCUGGCGGCGUGCCUAAUACAUGCAAGUCGAGCGAACGGACGAGAAGCUUGCUUCUCUGAUGUUAGCGGCGGACGGGUGAGUAACACGUGGAUAACCUACCUAUAAGACUGGGAUAACUUCGGGAAACCGGAGCUAAUACCGGAUAAUAUUUUGAACCGCAUGGUUCAAAAGUGAAAGACGGUCUUGCUGUCACUUAUAGAUGGAUCCGCGCUGCAUUAGCUAGUUGGUAAGGUAACGGCUUACCAAGGCAACGAUGCAUAGCCGACCUGAGAGGGUGAUCGGCCACACUGGAACUGAGACACGGUCCAGACUCCUACGGGAGGCAGCAGUAGGGAAUCUUCCGCAAUGGGCGAAAGCCUGACGGAGCAACGCCGCGUGAGUGAUGAAGGUCUUCGGAUCGUAAAACUCUGUUAUUAGGGAAGAACAUAUGUGUAAGUAACUGUGCACAUCUUGACGGUACCUAAUCAGAAAGCCACGGCUAACUACGUGCCAGCAGCCGCGGUAAUACGUAGGUGGCAAGCGUUAUCCGGAAUUAUUGGGCGUAAAGCGCGCGUAGGCGGUUUUUUAAGUCUGAUGUGAAAGCCCACGGCUCAACCGUGGAGGGUCAUUGGAAACUGGAAAACUUGAGUGCAGAAGGGGAAAGUGGAAUUCCAUGUGUAGCGGUGAAAUGCGCAGAGAUAUGGAGGAACACCAGUGGCGAAGGCGACUUUCUGGUCUGUAACUGACGCUGAUGUGCGAAAGCGUGGGGAUCAAACAGGAUUAGAUACCCUGGUAGUCCACGCCGUAAACGAUGAGUGCUAAGUGUUAGGGGGUUUCCGCCCCUUAGUGCUGCAGCUAACGCAUUAAGCACUCCGCCUGGGGAGUACGACCGCAAGGUUGAAACUCAAAGGAAUUGACGGGGACCCGCACAAGCGGUGGAGCAUGUGGUUUAAUUCGAAGCAACGCGAAGAACCUUACCAAAUCUUGACAUCCUUUGACAACUCUAGAGAUAGAGCCUUCCCCUUCGGGGGACAAAGUGACAGGUGGUGCAUGGUUGUCGUCAGCUCGUGUCGUGAGAUGUUGGGUUAAGUCCCGCAACGAGCGCAACCCUUAAGCUUAGUUGCCAUCAUUAAGUUGGGCACUCUAAGUUGACUGCCGGUGACAAACCGGAGGAAGGUGGGGAUGACGUCAAAUCAUCAUGCCCCUUAUGAUUUGGGCUACACACGUGCUACAAUGGACAAUACAAAGGGCAGCGAAACCGCGAGGUCAAGCAAAUCCCAUAAAGUUGUUCUCAGUUCGGAUUGUAGUCUGCAACUCGACUACAUGAAGCUGGAAUCGCUAGUAAUCGUAGAUCAGCAUGCUACGGUGAAUACGUUCCCGGGUCU